AAAUGAAUUGACGGGGACUCGCACAAGCGGUGGAGCAUGCGGUUUAAUUCGAUGCAACGCGAAGAACCUUACCAGGCCUUGACAUACCAUUGACCGAUCUAGAGAUAGGUCUUCCCUUCGGGGCAAUGGAUACAGGUGGUGCAUGGUUGUCGUCAGCUCGUGUCGUGAGAUGUUGGGUUAAGUCCCACAACGAGCGCAACCCUUAUCAUUAGUUGCUAACAUUAAGUUGAGAACUCUAAUGAGACCGCCGGCGAUAAGCCGGAUGAAGGUGGGGACGACGUCAAAUCAUCAUGCCCCUUAUGGCCUGGGCUACACGCGUGCUACAAUGGCUAGUACAAAGAGUUGCAAUACCGCGAGGUGGAGCUAAUCUCAUAAAACUAGUCUCAGUUCGGAUUGUAGUCUGCAACUCGACUACAUGAAGUUGGAAUCGCUAGUAAUCGCAAAUCAGAAUGUUGCGGUGAAUACGUUCUCGAGUCUUGUACACACCGCCCGU
rnacentral:rRNA from 1 species